UUCGUGUGAACAGUGGUUGAUCACGAGUUAGUCGGUCCUAAGUUCAAGGCGAAAGCCGAAAAUUUUCAAGUAAAGAAAAAUCAAAAAUGGAAAUAUUUAUAUAUGUAUCAAUAAUUUGGAUUUUUAUACACUUGAAUAAUUUUGAACGAAAGGGAAUACGGUUCCAAUUCCGUAACCUGUUGAGUAUCCGUUUGUUAUUAAAUAUGGGCCUCGUGCUCAUCCUGGCAACAGGAACGACCAUAAAGAAGCCGUCGAGAGAUAUCGGAAGAGUUUUCUUUUCUGUUUUAUAGCCGUACUACCAUGGAAGUCUUUCGCAGAGAGAUAUGGUAGAUGGGCUAGAAGAGCAUGACAUAUACUGUUGUGUCGAUAUUUUCUCCUCGGACCUUGAAAAUUUAUGGUGGGGAUACGCAAACUUCUCAACAGGCCGUACCAAUAUCCGCAGCUGGUCUCCAAGGUGAAGAGUCUCUAGUCGAUAAAAUA
rnacentral:rRNA from 1 species